UACAGAGGGUGCAAGCGUUGUUCGGAAUUAUUGGGCGUAAAGCGCGUGUAGGCGGCCUUGCAAGUCGGGUGUGAAAGCCCUCAGCUCAACUGAGGAAGCGCGCCCGAAACUGCAGAGCUUGAGUACCGGAGAGGAUGGCGGAAUUCCCCAAGUAGAGGUGAAAUUCGUAGAUAUGGGGAGGAACACCGGUGGCGAAGGCGGCCAUCUGGACGGAUACUGACGCUGAGACGCGAAAGCGUGGGGAGCAAACGGG
rnacentral:rRNA from 1 species